rnacentral:rRNA from 1 species
AUUGAACGCUAGCGGGAUGCCUAACACAUGCAAGUCGAACGAGUGGCGGACGGGUGAGUAAUGUCUCGGAACGUGCCCAGUGGCGGGGGAUAACUACUGGAAACGGUAGCUAAUACCGCAUACCAUCGGAUGUACCCAUAUGGGAUUAGCUAGUAGGUGGGGUAACGGCUCACCUAGGCGACGAUCCCUAGCUGGUCUGAGAGGAUGAUCAGCCACACUGGGACUGAGACACGGGCCAGACUCCUACGGGAGGCAGCAGUGGGGAAUAUUGCACAAUGGGCGCAAGCCUGAUGCAGCCAUGCCGCGUGUAUGAAGAAGGCCCUAGGGUUGUAAAGUACUUUCAGUCGGGAGGCGUUACCCACAGAAGAAGCACCGGCUAACUCCGUGCCAGCAGCCGCGGUAAUAC